CGCAAGCCUGACGGAGCAAGACCGCGUGCGGGAUGACGGCCUAAUGGUUGUAAACCGCUUUUCUCUGGGAAGAUGAUGACGGUACCAGAGGAAUCAGCCUCGGCUAACUCCGUGCCAGCAGCCGCGGUAAUACGGAGGAGGCAAGCGUUAUCCGGAAUUAUUGGGCGUAAAGCGUCCGUAGGUGGUUAUUCAAGUCUGCUGUCAAAGCGUGGGGCUUAACUCCAUAGAGGCGGUGGAAACUGAGUGACUAGAGUGCGGUAGGGGUCGAGGGAAUUCCCAGUGUAGCGGUGAAAUGCGUAGAUAUUGGGAAGAACACCAGUGGCGAAAGCGCUCGACUGGGCCUGCACUGACACUGAGGGACGAAAGCUAGGGGAGCG
rnacentral:rRNA from 1 species